ACCCUGGCUUUUAAACAAUCACUUGUAUUCUCUGCCCGGCAGGAAGCAGCAGGCCCAUCAAGGCUCUGGGCUCUGUCUUUGUUCUGACUUUAUGGCAUUUUAUGCCACAAUAAGAAACACUGUGUACUCCGUGGGAGCCCGUUGUGCUGGGCUGCAAGGAUGUGGGCUCCCGUGCAGAGGGCUGGUGCUCUGCCCCCGGGAGAAGAGGGGCUUUAUGACAGGCCCAAGGGCAAAACAAGGGGUGCCAGACACUGUUACUGGGGCAACUGCUGGCCAGUGUGGAGGCAGCCAUGGCUCCUGGGUCCCUGUCACCCGCAGGCUGGGAGGAGGGCAGGAGAAGGAUGGACUUUGUUCUAAGAAGCAGUCCCAGUCACUGGAUAAAUUCUACAUCAGGACUGUGCUAACCGCGGCCCCCAACCCUCUGGGCUGCUGAGCUGGCCUCAUCCUGCUUCGAGACUCGGUGCCAGGUGACCGCCUCUGUCUGUAAGCCAGCUCUCAUUCCUCGAAGAAACGCCAUCUGGUAUACAAGCUACAUCUUUGUCCUGGUGAUGACAGUGCCAUAGCCUACCCAAGUGACCACGAAGACCUCAACAGAUGGCACAUGUGAUCGCCAACCUGCAAGGUUUGGGGAAGUGCGGCCGGAUGGGCCCGCUCAGAGACUGACUCACCCUUCCUCUCGAAACUCGGCUGUAGUUGAGCCUCAUGAGUUCUGCAAACCUCUGCUCAUAGAGGUGAAGCAGCAGCACCAGCCACUUUUUCAGGCACUCCUGAUGAACAAACUGCAGGCUUCCCACACAACCGCAAGGCUCCAAGAGGGGGUUGGUUGGGGAACCCCCGGCUAUCUGACAGAUGCGACACAGGUCUCCCUCCUCCUCCGAGUCCUCCUCCAGGAGACUAAAUGGAAAACAAGCCCUGGUGACCGGGGGUCUGCACAGUUUCUACAGACUGCAACUACUACUACUACUUCCCAGGACGUUAAAGGGAGAGGCCCCGCCAGGGCUUCCCCAGGCUCCCCCACAGCUCCCUCUGACCCUACUGAAGAUUCUUCCCGGUGACUUAGAGCAGGUGCACGGACCCUUGUAUCGGACUCCUUGGCAGUUAGUGACACGUGUGAGCCGGCUGCCAGAACCAGCCUUGCCACCAGAAAUCUAGAGGCGGUGGAUGAGGCUACAGAGGAAGACCAUGGAAGAGGCUGGGAGCCCCUCUCCUAGUCGUGGCCACUGUGGAAGUUGGUGGUACGUCGUGUUGAUCCUGAAACCCUGGGUCAGAGGUGAGAAGAUCCCUGUGGGAUGUGAGCAGCCUGCCACCCGCAGACACCCAUCCAUCCCUCCUGGGCCAGGAAAGCAGCUUCUGCAUAAAGAAUGCUCAAAGGGCCCAGCAGUGGGGAAGGCAGUUAAGAGACUGGGCCCAGGUGGUCAGAGAAGAACUGGAUUUGGAACCUGGUUCUGGGACCUUGGAGCUGUGUGAGCUUGGGAAGAUCACUUCACCUCUUGAAGCCUCAGUUUCCCCACCUAGUA